rnacentral:tRNA from 1 species
GUCCCUGUAGCGCAAUGGAUAGCGCGUUGGACUUCUAGUCCAAAGGUCGUGGGUUCGAAUCCCACCUGGGAGGGACU